rnacentral:misc_RNA from 1 species
GUUGGUGAACCAGCGGAGGGAUCAUUAUAGAGUUAUACAACUCCAAACCCGUGUAAACGUACCACAUUGUUGCCUCGGCCGGCUGUGCCUACCCUGUAGCGACUUACCCUGUAGCCACCUACCCUGUAGGAGUUACCCUGUAAGGACCUACCCUGUAGGCAUGUCCAAGGCCGGCCGAAGGCUCCCGAACCCUAGUUAUAUACGUGACUUCUGAAAACGCAACUUAAUAAGUUAAAACUUUCAACAACGGAUCUCUUGGUUCUG